ACGACCUUACUUGAACAGGAUCUGUUCUAUAGGCUCGUACCACUGUAUCCUUGAGUUAUAAGGAGACAGAAAACCUAGUCUGGUUGAUGAGGCGUGGCUAUGGGACCAGAGCGUGAUUAACAGCCUUCCAUGGUCACUUGUGGCCUUGAAGCAGUAGAGGAUCGUUCCAGUCUUGGGAUGGUUCAUGGCUGUCUGACAGACU
rnacentral:snoRNA from 1 species